AUUGAACGCUGGCGGCAGGCUUAACACAUGCAAGUCGAGCGGGGUGAUGGUGCUUGCACUAUCACUUAGCGGCGGACGGGUGAGUAAUGCUUAGGAAUCUGCCUAUUAGUGGGGGACAACAUCUCGAAAGGGAUGCUAAUACCGCACACGUCCUACGGGAGAAAGCAGGGGAUCACUUGUGACCUUGCGCUAAUAGAUGAGCCUAAGUCGGAUUAGCUAGUUGGUGGGGUAAAGGCCUACCAAGGCGACGAUCUGUAGCGGGUCUGAGAGGAUGAUCCGCCACACUGGGACUGAGACACGGCCCAGACUCCUACGGGAGGCAGCAGUGGGGAAUAUUGGACAAUGGGGGGAACCCUGAUCCAGCCAUGCCGCGUGUGUGAAGAAGGCCUUAUGGUUGUAAAGCACUUUAAGCGAGGAGGAGGCUCUUUUGGUUAAUACCCAAGAUGAGUGGACGUUACUCGCAGAAUAAGCACCGGCUAACUCUGUGCCAGCCGCCGCCGUAAAAC
rnacentral:rRNA from 1 species